UCGUCCAUGAAUGAAGGUCCUAGCAUAAAUCGAGAAGGAUUUGUUUGGACAAAUUGACAAAAGAGAGUAUAAUCAAGGGAAGGAGACGAAGGAAGAGGAGGAAGUAGAGCCAUUAGCUAAAAUGGAAGAAAGAAGGAGGAGAAAAUCGAUGGAAAAAUGAAGAAAUAGUGAAAAGAAAACUCCAGACAAGGAUGAAGAAGAGAAGAAGCGUAGGGAAGAAAAAAGCAAUAAAGCAUUAGAGGCAAAAGAAAGAGGGAAGAGAAGGAGAGCCGUCGGAUGGGAUUAUGAAAAAUAGCUUUAAUGGUGAAAAGAUGGUGGUAAUAAAUAACCUAAUUAAUGCCUCAAAAGAGACAAAAAAGAAACGUAAGAGAUAUUGACCGUCAAAAGUGAAAGAACGGCUAAGAAAGGAGACGGUACAAGGCAAUUCGAAAUGAAGAUUUCGAAAUUCGUA
rnacentral:lncRNA from 1 species